UACGAAGGGGGCUAGCGUUGCUCGGAAUCACUGGGCGUAAAGGGUGCGUAGGCGGGGCUUUAAGUCAGGGGUGAAAUCCUGGAGCUCAACUCCAGAACUGCCUUUGAUACUGAAGAUCUUGAGUCCGGGAGAGGUGAGUGGAACUGCGAGUGUAGAGGUGAAAUUCGUAGAUAUUCGCAAGAACACCAGUGGCGAAGGCGGCUCACUGGCCCGGUACUGACGCUCAACUACGAAAGCGUGGGGAGCAAACAGG
rnacentral:rRNA from 1 species